CCAGCAGCUGCGGUAAUUCCAGCUCCAAUAGCGUAUAUUUAAGUUGCUGCAGUUAAAAAGCUCGUAGUUGGAUUUCGGGCGGGGCCUGCCGGUCCGCCGUUUCGGUGUGCACUGGCAGGGCCCGCCUUGUUGCCGGGGACGGGCUCCUGGGCUUCACUGUCCGGGACUCGGAGUCGGCGCUGUUACUUUGAGUAAAUUAGAGUGUUCAAAGCAGGCCUACGCUCUGAAUACAUUAGCAUGGAAUAACACGAUAGGACUCUGGCCUAUCCUGUUGGUCUGUAGGACCGGAGUAAUGAUUAAGAGGGACAGUCGGGGGCAUUCGUAUUUCGAUGUCAGAGGUGAAAUUCUUGGAUUUUCGAAAGACGAACUACUGCGAAAGCAUUUGCCAAGGAUGUUUUCAUUAAUCAAGAACGAAAGU
rnacentral:rRNA from 1 species